CACUUGUUAAUUCUGCAGUAAAAUUCAUUAGUAAUAAUUAGAAAUUCAAUAUUUAGUUCAGUAAUAAAAAUUCAUCUUUUAGAUUAAAUCAUAGUUGCAAAUAUCAAAAUCCAUUCCAUUUAUUCUCACAGUAAACCAUUAGGUAGCUGGAUGGAAGAUAUUAUUUCACUGGGCAAUCCAUUAUUUAAUAAAGUUAUUUUUUACUGUUUCCUUCCUGCAGGUAAAUAUCUAUUUUUCCUCUUUUAUUCACAUAAUCAGAAUCUCACAAUUAUUUAAAAUCUGACCAAACCAUUUGUUUUUUGUUUUUAUCUCAAUGGGAUAGAGGAGGUGAUUUUUACGAGAGAUGCUUUUAUGCUUUUAGCUUAACGUUCUGUGAUUAAGAAGCAAAAAAAAAUUUUGCAGAAAAAAGUAUUUGAAACCACACCAAGGAAAACAAUUUGGCUCUCACUUGUAAAGGAUAGAAACAUUAACGUUUUGAGGUUAGACUGAGUUCUCUCUGGAGAGGUGGGUUUAAUUCUCUUGAUCAUAGUACUAAGUAGAACCUAGGAGAAGCCAAGGUGAUGUCACAAUUGUCUUCUAAAAGCCCAGUCCCUUGUAGGUAGAUUCCGUGCCCCACCCCCCCGGCCUUCUUAAGUAAUGGUACCUAAAUAUAAGUCCUAUAAAGUCAAUUGAGUAUGAUAUCAGUCAUCCACUUGUCCAAGAGCCGGUGUGUUAAACAACCACUGUAGUCCAGUGUCUCCUCCUCAGAAGGUCCGAUCUUCCUGAUGCAGAGCACUGCCCUUGUGCGCAUUCCACCAUCACAAGUCUUGCUACACUCCAACCAAUCCCCAAUGAACCACCUGCAGCAAGAAGUGGAAGAAACACAGACAAGCAUUUCCUCAGUGCAGCCAGAGAUUUUCAGCUGAGUGAAGGCACUUUCAUCAAUGGACUACAUCCUUUUCCUAGAAGGGCUGACAGGGGGAGAGAAGACCAGGUAUCCAUCUUGAAGAUGUGGGAGUCUUUAAAAACCUGCACCAAGAGCAGAGCCCCGAGCCACCUCUGUGAAAACAUGGAGUUCCCUUGCUUUGACCCUUUUACUGCUAAAAAUAGCUUCUACACAGCUAAUGUGAGAAAAAACUGAGAUGUUUUAACAAAAUGAACAUGUCUCACAUUUCUAGGUAUACUACUCUUUUUUCCUAAGGUCAUCAAUGAACUUUCAUAUUUAUAUACACAUAUAUAAUUUCAGGGGGUUUUGGUGUGUGUACUACUUCUGCAGGACUCACUCUCUUAGGCACAUUAAUUGGUCCAAGGGAUGUGACUCAUGAUCCAAAUCAGACCAAUGAGAAUUUGGCUUUAGAAUUUUUACAUCUUGACUAGAGCAAAAGGGACCCUUUCCUUUCUGGUCACAAAGAUGUAUAAAGAUAUAAGAGCUGUGGGUGGUCAUGUUUCCUGUCAAGUGGAAUUAGCUGAUUUGAAAGAAUUCACAGGAGAUAGAGUCCUGAGAGUGUUUGAAUCCUUGAUUUCUAGCCAUUCCUCAAGCUAGGUCCAUUCUUAUCCUUCCCUCAGCUUUGUCAUGUAAACCAGUAAAUCCUCUUCUGUGCAGAAGCUAGCUGAAGUUGAAGUUAUUUCCAACCUGAGUCCUGACUGACACAUUAUUGUAUUUAAUUUAAUAAAUAUAUGCUGAAU